UCACCCACAGCCACACCCUCCCCUACAGAAGCCCUGACUGCAUAGCCCUGCAUCAUGGACUGGAGCUGGAGAGCACUCUUCCUGGUGGCAGUGGCUACAGGUGUUCACGCACAAAUACAACUGGUCCAGUCUGGGGCUGAGGUGAGGAAGCCUGGGGCCUCAGUGAAGGUCUCCUGCAAGGCUUCUGGAUACACUUUCACAGAGUACUAUAUGCACUGGGUGCGACAGGCCCCAGGACAAGGGCUUGAGUGGAUGGGAAGAGUUAACCCUAACAAUGGUGGCACAGACUAUGCACAGAAGUUCCAGGGCAGAGUCACCAUGACGGCAGACAAGUCCAUGAGCACAGCCUACAUGGAGCUGAGCAGCCUGAGAAUUGAGGACACGGCUGUGUAUUACUGUACUACAGCCACAGUGAUGGGGACAAAGGAUCAGCCCAGACACAAACCUCCCUGCAGGAGGGGCUGGUAA